rnacentral:rRNA from 1 species
AUUGAACGCUGGCGGCAGGCCUAACACAUGCAAGUCGAGCGAGCGGCGGACGGGUGAGUGUUGUAUGUGGACUGUCCGAUAUGGGGGGAUAUCUCUUGGAAACGGUGGCUCAUAUCGCACCUUCCCGCAUAACCCAUAUGUGAUUAGCUAGUAGGUAAGGUAAUGGCUUACCUAGGCGACGAUCCCUAGCUGGUCUGAGAGGAUGAUCAGCCAAACUGGGAAGGAGACACGGCCCAGACUCCUACGGAGGCAGCAGUGGGGAAUAUUGCACAAUGGGCGCAAGCCUGAUGCAGCCAUGCCGCGUGUAUGAAGAAGGCCCUAGGGUUGUAAAGUACUUUCAGGCGGGAGGCGUUACCGGCAGAAGAAGCACCGGCUAACUCCGUGCCAGCAGCCGCGGUAAUUC